rnacentral:rRNA from 1 species
GCUUAUACUCGACCGUCAGCGGCACGUGCGAUCGCGCGAACUUUCGCGAGCGAGCGCGGUCACGAAGCCCUGACGAGUAGGAGGGUCGCGGCGGUGAGCGCAGAAGGGCUGGCCGCGAGGCCGUCUGGAGCCGCCGUCGGUGCAGAUCUUGGUGGUAGUAGCAAAUACUCCAGCGAGGCCCUGGAGGACUGACGUGGAGAAGGGUUUCGUGUGAACAGCCGUUGCACACGAGUCAGUCGAUCCUAAGCCCUAGGCGAAAGCCGAUGUCGAUGCGGUGUAGUUUUUACGAUAAUCGAUCAAUACUACGAUAACGACGACGGCGACGAAGGCGACGAAAUAAAUUUUAAUUCGUCGUCGUAGUCGGUCUAAUCGUCGAAAUAGUAUAUGUAUAACGCGAGAGCACACACCCGUCGGGCGAAAGGGAAUCCGGUUCCUAUUCCGGAACCUGGCAGCGGAACCGUAAAAAAGUCGGGC